CCCGCCCACUCCGAGCCUCCGUGCGGGUCCGAAAUGGUAGGCUGCCUGCUGGCCUCCACGCGUAGCGACCUGCGCCUCCCCCAGGCGGCCUGUAGGCCAGGCCGCAGCUACAGGUCCGACCGCGGCGGAAGCGGGGACGAGGAGAAUCGGCCUCCCUGGCCCCCUCGCGUGGGCUUUUCAGACCUUACCAACCCUCCCCGUGGGCGCCAGGGAGGGGCUCUGGGGAAAAGCUCUGGGGACCGGGUACUGAUACGUGCCCAAGAUGGGUGUCAGGACCACCCCCUGCCGCCCCCAGCGGCCUGACGGGCGUGGGGAGGGCUCGGGACGGCCAGCACGCCGGGCCCUCCGGGCGGCGCCCGAAGAGCUGUCCAUGGUGUCUCCCCGCGAACGGCGCCCAGUUCCUGUUCUGAGCAUCCGGGUAGGUAGCGGGAGAAAAACUAAUGCCUACUUUGGAGCAACUCUCUUGGCUGUCGUUUCUUCUGAGUGUUCCAGGGCUCUCAGGAACACUACAGGAAAGACUGCUCCGCUGUACCUGUGGUGGAGAAUCGAAGUCACAAACCAGGACCUCAAGACUGAGUUGAAACAUGGCGCAAAUCAUACUACGGUGGCUAAUAUUAGUGUGUCCCACGGACUUUCCCUUCUCUUUCCACUUGAUAGACCUAAAUGUGGGAAUGAAGUCAAAGCCAAGAGGGCCAAAGGAAUUGAAAUCCUGAAGAAACCGUUUCUGCUUGUCUUCGUUUUUUCUUUACCUCUUCCUCUUCUUGCUUUUAUUUUAGCAGCGAAAGCAGAAUUUAAAUUUGUUACCGUGCACAAAAUCAUUUCCCCCUCUGGGCCUUGUCAUGUGGCUUGAUUUAACAUUUCUUCAUCCUUUUUAGAGAAGCUGGACCCACCCUGGUUUCAGGAUCCUAAAGUAGCUAUCACUCACUAGAAGAGAAGCCUUUUCUUUUCUAGGACAUAUGCAAAGACACAUUUAGUUCUGAGAACUGGAAAGGAUUUCUCAUUUAGUACUAUUUACUUAGAAAAAGGUGUUUUGCUCUUAGUAGUGGUUACUGACAGCAGCCUCAGAAUUAAACUUAUAUUAAGAGUC